UGGGGAAUUUUGGACGAAUUGGGCGAAAGCCUGAUCCAGCAAUGCCGCGUGUGUGAAGAAGGCCUUCGGGUUGUAAAGCACUUUUGUCCGGAAAGAAAUCCUUGGCUCUAAUACAGUCGGGGGAUGACGGUACCGGAAGAAUAAGCACCGGCUAACUACGUGCCAGCAGCCGCGGUAAUACGUAGGGUGCAAGCGUUAAUCGGAAUUACUGGGCGUAAAGCGUGCGCAGGCGGUUUGCUAAGACCGAUGUGAAAUCCCCGGGCUCAACCUGGGAACUGCAUUGGUGACUGGCAGGCUAGAGUAUGGCAGAGGGGGGUAGAAUUCCACGUNUAGCAGUGAAAUGCGUAGAGAUGUGGAGGAAUACCGAUGGCGAAGGCAGCCCCCUGGGCAAUACUGACGCUCAUGCACGAAAGCGUGGGGAGCAAACAGGAUUAGAUACCCUGGUAGUCCACGCCCUAAA
rnacentral:rRNA from 1 species